GGCAUAGAGUAUCAAGCGUAUGAGUAUAAACCGAGUAUGACGCAAUGAUUAUAUGACUAUCAACCGAGUAUGAAAAUGGUAUAUGUGUAUCAACCGAGUAUGAACCAAACCAAUGAAAAUUCAUUUGAUCAUUGGAGACAAGUAAAGAGAAAAGCGAGUCAUAUCUAACUCAUCCUAACUAACCGUGUCAUAUAUUGGAAAUCUUGACCUGUGAAAUAGUUAAGGAUAGCCGUUAUAGAAACACAAAUCUAAACAACAACAACUUAAUCUAAAACAUAACAGAAACAUAACCUUAAACACAAACACACUACUUAAUCCAACAUUUCGGUUAUGAGCUUCUUCUUUAGAGCUUCCUCAUAGUCUUCAAGUGGCUCUUUUUUGGCUAAAAGACUUUCUAGUAUAGCCAUCUUUGACAGCUGUUUCUUCAUUGUCAAGUCCUUCUCUUUGAUUUGCCACAUGGUCUCAAACUCAACCAAAGGAAACUUCGUCUCUACGCUACUCUUCUUGGCUUUGACUUUUGAUGCCUUCACUCCUAGAGGUCUUUUGCUUCCAUUUUCUUCCUCACAAGUCUUCGCUUCAUCAGCCAUGGAGCUUGUCGAUUGUGAACCAUCUUCUUCGUUUUGAGUUUCCUUCUGUUUUACUUGUUGAAAUAUCACACCACUUCUGAUCAUUCUUGAGCUCUUUCCAAGCAUGUUCUAGAUUGAACUUCUUCUUGUACGAGUUGUAGAAUAUUUCAUGUGCCAGCUUUAAAAUGUCAUUCUCAUUCAUUCCACUCGUUCUCUCUCUACUUGCAGCUUCGUAUGCUCCACAAAAUUUGCAGACUAGGUCGUUUAUUUUAUGACAUCUCUGCUUGCACUGUAUCGUCACAAUGUUCUCACGACCAGAAGCCUUUGGAGAAGCAGAAAAAUAUGCAGCUAUGCGCUUCCAAAAGGUACCUGAUUUCUGCUCAUUUCCCACCACUGGGUCCUUUGAAGUGUUUAACCAUGAGCUGAUGAGCAACACAUCAUCACUCGGGCUCCAUUGUCUUUUUUUUUCUUUUCCUUUUCUGGUGAUGCUUCACCGAAGCUUGCAGCAUAAGCAGGACUGUCUUCAACAAAACUUGAGGCAUAACCGCAGAAGACAGAGUCUUGUUGACUGUUUAACAGAUCAACAAAGGUGGAAGUCGUGAAAGUUGGAUUCAUAGAUGAGAAAGCCAUAUGGGAGAAUGAAAAGAUAAAGAGAAGAAGGAUCAAGGCACAAGAGAAGAUGUUUAAGUAGAUGUUAAUGAGAAGAAGCAAAGAGAAGAUGAACAAAGAGAUAAAGAAGGAGAGGAAGUACGAGAAAAAGAAGAACAAAGAGAUGCAGAAGGAUGGAAGUACGAGAAGAAGAAUCAAAGAGAAGAUGUUUAAGUAGAUGUUAAAGAGAAGAAGUUAAAGAGAAGAGGAAGCAAAGAGAAGAUGAACAAAGAGAUGAAGAAGGAGAGGAAGUACGAGAAGAAGAAGCAAAGAGAAUAAACAAAAAGAAGAUGUUAAAGAGAAGAUGUUACAAGGAGAAGAAGCACCGCAUUUAAAACAAGAAAACAAACCAACAUUGAAGUAGAAAAUCAAAUGAACAUUGAAGAAGAAAAAGCAAAAAAGUUUUCCAGCAUUCAACCAUAUUGACUAGAUAUAUAUCUAACACUAUUAGAGCAUUCAUCAACAAGUCCAUUUAUUACCUAAACCUAAACCAUUAUCUACACUAACUAGGCAUUUAUUAUCAUCUCACUGAUUUGAAGAC
rnacentral:lncRNA from 1 species